rnacentral:misc_RNA from 1 species
UGUGGCAGGUCCAAUGUCCUUUGAAG